UCCAUAUCAUGAUGAAACACUGGUUCUCAUACAAUUACUAAAGUUAAGCAAUUUCAAGCCUAGCCAGUACCUCGAUGGGUGACCACUUGGGAAUACCAUGUGUGGUAAG